rnacentral:lncRNA from 1 species
CGAAACGACAUUUGACCACCAGCGCAUUGCCACCUGCGUUGGCGGCGUUGCCGACCGUGUCCUCUUCAGCGGGACAUUCAGAAGAAGUGAAGCGGGCCUACCAUGCGACCCUGGCACAAUUGCAGGCCGUUUAUCAUGGCAAUGGCUAAAGCUUAAGGCUAUAACUGCAGUGGCAUUGCCUUGCCGGUGCGUGUCUUCAAGGGGUCAGUGAGGUGGCCCUAACGGGUUGGGUGGCGGCGCAUCGGGUGUGCAUGUCAAAUGGACAGAUGUGAAGUAGGCGGAACGUAGUGUAACGGGCAGCGUGCGACAACGGGUUAAAACGCAUUCCGCUGCGUGGCGGGCACGGACGCCGUAAUAUCGGUGAGCUUAUCCUCGCAACGCCAAUAUAAAGCGGAAUAUUUGAUUGCAAUAAUGGCUUGCAGGCCAGUACAUCAGAGUUACCAGUACUGAAGCACGCAUAAGCGGGGGCUUUGCCCACCGGUCUCCGCUCUCCAGCUUUUAUGUAGAGCUUAGUAGUAUAUAGUUCAGAUUUGCAGUCGCUCGCUAGUGAUUAAAUACGCGAGCAGCUUGCUACUAUGAGUCUCGCGGGUAUGUGCAGAGAAGAAUUACUGUCAAAGCCCUUAUGCCUGCAGGACACCUGGCCCUCAAACAAUUCGAUGUCCUAACGUAUAGCAGGAAAUUGAGGAUUGUGCCGUCGGGCCCUUUAGGCUUUGCUUGAGGUCUUGGUAAAUUUUUGCAUGUGCAAACAGCACCAGUUUUACAGUUUCAUCAUGUUCGUAAUGUUCAUUAAACAGCCAGAAACUUGUGGAAACCGUACGUAUGCUUCGUGACAGACAAAGCUGGUAGCGGCCCAAACGCACCGCAACGCCCAAACAUCUAAUUGCACCGCUAUGCUGUUUAGCAUUAUAUACCUCUGUGUGCAUACGGAACUUUUUGCCAGUCAGUCUUGACCAAUAACUUAAAAGUUCAGAGUCAGCCCCGGUAAC